GCCCUCUCAGGGUCGCACCUGGAGAGUUUCCAUCACUCUCCCAGUCUCGACUGCUGGAGGGGGAGUCAAUUAUAGGCCUAUCCAUUCCAUUCCUAGCUUGGGCAGUGGCUAGCGAGUGGAAGGCGAUCUGCUACAAGU